AGCCUCAUAGCUCAGUUGGCUAGAGCGUUGGCAUUACUUAAGCCUUCCCUUUGCUGGCGUGGGUUCGAAUCUUACCAAGGCUG
rnacentral:tRNA from 1 species